rnacentral:rRNA from 1 species
CAAUAGCAUAUAUUAACGUUGUUGCAGUUGAAAAGCUCGUAGUUGAACUUUUGGUAGGAGCGACCUGGCCUUGGGCGCAUGCCCUUGUUUGCCGUGUGUCGUAUCUGGCCAUCCUUUUCCGUUUCGGCGGGAAUCUUUUACUGUGAGUAAACUGGAGUGCUCAAAACAAGACGUUUGUUUGGUACAUUAAAGCAUGGAAUAAUAAGAUAGGACCUGGUUACUAUUUUGUUGGUUUGCAUAGCUAGGUAAUGAUUAACAGGGACAGUUGGGGGUAUUCGUAUUUAAUUGUCAGAGGUGAAAUUCUUGGAUUUAUGAAAGACGAACGACUGCGAAAGCAUUUACCAAGGAUGUUUUCAUUAA